CCUUACUUUAUUGUACCCAAGAAAGGCGGUGGGUUGAGACCUAUCUUGGACCUGCGCGUCGUGAACCGGGCCCUUCACCGGCUCCCGUUCAAGAUGCUCACGCAGAAAUGCAUUUUCAGGUGUAUCCGUCCCCAAGACUGGUUCGCAGCGAUCGACCUGAAGGACGCGUACUUUCAUGUCUCGAUCCUUCCGCGCCACAGGCCAUUCCUGCGGUUUGCGUUCGAGGGGCGGGCAUACCAGUACAAGGUCCUGCCCUUCGGGCUGUCCCUGUCGCCCCGUGUCUUUACGAAAGUUACGGAGGCAGCCCUUGUUCCCACGAGAGAGCAGGGCAUUCGCAUCAACUACCUCGACAAUUGGCUCAUACUCGCCCAGUCUCAGGAUCAGUUGUGCAAGCACAGGGACUUGGUGUUUUCACACCUCAGCCUGUUGGGCCUUCAGGUCAACUGGGAAAAGAGCAAACUCCCCCCGACGCAGAGGAUCUCUUUUCUCGGUAUGGAGUUGGACUCGGUAGAACAGACAGCACGCCUCACGCAGGAACGUGCUCAGUCGGUGUUGAACUGCUUGAAUACAUUCAAGAGCAGGAUGGCGGUCCCACUGAAAUUGUUUCAGAGGCUCCUGGGGCAUAUGGCGGCCACGGCGGCAGUCACGCCACUGGGGCUACUCCAUAUGAGACCGCUGCAGCACUGGCUCCAUGGCCGAGUCCCGAGGUGGGCGUGGCAACGCGGCACCUUCCGGGUCCAAGUGACACCGGCCUGCCGCCAAAACCUUCACCCCGUGGUCAGACCUUGCGUUCCUCCGGGCAGGAGUGCCCCUGGAGCAGGUCUCCAGGCAUGCUGGCAGAUGCCUCAACCACCGGCUGGGGGGCCACGUACAACGGGCUUGCAGUGUCAGGGGUUUGGACGGGGCCCCGACUGCACUGGCACAUCAACUGCCUCGAGUUGCUGGCAGUACUUCCUUGUAUGUGUAAACAUACCUGGCAAUAAAGCUCAUUCUCAUUCUGAUUCUGAUUCUGAUUCU
rnacentral:lncRNA from 1 species